rnacentral:rRNA from 1 species
UUGGAGGGCAAGUCUGGUGCCAGCAGCCGCGGUAAUUCCAGCUCCAAUAGCGUAUAUUAAAGUUGUUGCAGUUAAAAAGCUCGUAGUUGAAUUUCGGGGUCAGUAGGUUGGUCAUGCCACUGGUAUGUACUGGUCUCACUGAUUCCUCCUUCCUGAUGAGCCGUAAUGCCAUUAAUUUGGUGUUGCGAGGAAUCUGGACUGUCACUUUGAAAAAAUUAGAGUGUUUAAAGCAGGCUAACGCUUGAAUACAUUAGCAUGGAAUAAUGAAAUAGGACGUUCGAUCUUAUUUUGUUGGUUUCUAAGAUUGACGUAAUGAUUAAUAGGGAUAGUUGGGGGCAUUAGUAUUCAAUUGUCAGAGGUGAAAUUCUUGGAUUUAUUGGAGACUAACUACUGCGAAAGCAUUUGCCAAGGAUGUUUUCAUUAAUCAAGAACGAAAGUUAGGGGAUCGAAGACGAUCAGAUACCGUCGUAGUCUUAACCAUAAACUAUGCCGACUAGGGAUCGGAUGAUGUUAAUUUUUUAAUGUCUCAUUCGGCGCCUUACGGGAAACCAAAGUGUUUGGGUUC